GGCUCGUUGGUCUAGGGGUAUGAUUCUCGCUUAGGGUGCGAGAGGACCCGGGUUCAAAUCCCGCACGAGCCC
rfam:Danio rerio chromosome 4, GRCz11 reference primary assembly.